rnacentral:lncRNA from 1 species
AUUCAUCUGAUCAAAACUGGGUCUCCCUAGACCCUAUCUCCUACAAUUUUCACCAUAUGAAAAUGAUUCCAAGAUAAAAAUGACUCUAAAUGACAUUAUAAACAACUUUCAUGUUGAGACCUAGAGCUAGUUUUGCUUGAAAAAUCAUUUUCUAUGUUGAAACAUUAUAGGUCAUUUUGUCUAAACCCUAAUUUGAAAGUCAACUUCCCAAGGCCAU